rnacentral:rRNA from 1 species
GAUGAACGCUGGCGGCGUGCCUAAUACAUGCCAGUCGAGCGAACAGAUGAGGAGCUUGCUCCUCUGACGUUAGCGGCGGGCGGGUGAGUAACACGUGGAUAACCUACCUAUAAGACUGGGAUAACUUCGGGAAACCGGAGCUAAUACCGGAUAAUAUAUUGAACCGCAUGGUUCAAUAGUGAAAGACGGUUUUGCUGUCACUUAUAGAUGGAUCCGCGCCGCAUUAGCUAGUUGGUAAGGUAACGGCUUACCAAGGCAACGAUGCGUAGCCGACCUGAGAGGGUGAUCGGCCACACUGGAACUGAGACACGGUCCAGACUCCUACGGGAGGCAGCAGUAGGGAAUCUUCCGCAAUGGGCGAAAGCCUGACGGAGCAACGCCGCGUGAGUGAUGAAGGUCUUCGGAUCGUAAAACUCUGUUAUUAGGGAAGAACAAAUGUGUAAGUAACUAUGCACGUCUUGACGGUACCUAAUCAGAAAGCCACGGCUAACUACGUG